rnacentral:lncRNA from 1 species
GUGGAGUGUGUGAGUGAGCCAGUCUCUUUCUGUGAUGAUACGUGGAGUGUGUGAGUGAGCCAGUCUCUUUCCGUGAUGAUACGUGGAGUGUGUGAGUGAGUCAGUCUCUUUCUGUGAUGAUACGUGGAGUGUGUGAGUCAGUCUCUUUCUGUGAUGAUACGUGGAGUGUGUGAGUGAGUCAGUCUCUUUCUGUGAUGAUACGUGGAGUGUGUGAGUGAGUCAGUCUCUUUCUGUGAUGAUACGUGGAGUGUGUGAGUGAGCCAGUCUCUUUCUGUGAUGAUACGUGGAGUGUGUGAGUGAGCCAGUCUCUUUCUGUGAUGAUACGUGGAUUGUGUGAGUGAGUCUCUUUCUGUGAUGAUACGUGGAGUGUGUGUGCCAGUCUCUUUCUGUGAUGAUACGUGGAGUGUGUGAGUCAGUCUCUUUCUGUGAUGAUACGUGGAGUGUGUGAGUGAGUCAGUCUCUUUCUGUGAUGAUACGUGGAAUGUGUGAGUGAGCCAGUCUCUUUCUGUAAUGAUACGUGGAGUGUGUGAGUCAGUCUCUUUCUGUGAUGAUACGUGGAGUGUGUGAGUGAGCCAGUCUCUUUCUGUGAUGAUACGUGGAGUGUGUGAGUGAGCCAGUCUCUUUCUGUGAUGAUACGUGGAGUGUGUGAGUGAGCCAGUCUCUUUCUGUGAUGAUACGUGGAGUGUGUGAGUGAGUCAGUCUCUUUCUGUGAUGAUACGUGGAGUGUGUGAGUCAGUCUCUUUCUGUGAUGAUACGUGGAGUGUGUGAGUGAGUCAGUCUCUUUCUGUGAUGAUACGUGGAGUGUGUGAGUGAGUCAGUCUCUUUCUGUGAUGAUACAUGGAGUGUGUGAGUGAGCCAGUCUCUUUCUGUGAUGAUACGUGGAGUGUGUGAGUGAGACAGUCUCUUUCUGUGAUGAUACGUGGAGUGUGUGAGUCAGUCUCUUUCUGUGAUGGUACGUGGAGUGUGUGAGCCAGUCUCUUUCUGUGAUGAUACGUGGAGUGUGUGAGUGAGCCAGUCUCUUUCUGUGAUGAUACAUGGAGUGUGUGAGUGAGCCAGUCUCUUUCUGUGAUGAUACGUGGAGUGUGUGAGUGAGCCAGUCUCUUUCUGUGAUGAUACGUGGAGUGUGUGAGUGAGUCAGUCUCUUUCUGUGAUGAUACGUGGAGUGUGUGAGUCAGUCUCUUUCUGUGAUGAUACGUGGAGUGUGUGAGUGAGUCAGUCUCUUUCUGUGAUGAUACGUGGUGUGUGUGAGUGAGUCAGUCUCUUUCUGUGAUGAUACGUGGAGUGUGUGAGUGAGCCAGUCUCUUUCUGUGAUGAUACGUGGAGUGUGUGAGUGAGCCAGUCUCUUUCUGUGAUGAUACGUGGAGUGUGUGUGUGAGUCAGUCUCUUUCUGUGAUGAUACGUGGAGUGUGUGAGUCAGUCUCUUUCUGUGAUGAUACGUGGAGUGUGUGUGUGAUCCAGUCUCUUUCUGUGAUGAUACGUGGAGUGUGUGAGUGAGUCAGUCUCUUUCUGUGAUGAUACGUGGAGUGUGUGAGUGAGUCAGUCUCUUUCUGUGAUGAUACGUGGAGUGUGUGAGUCAGUCUCUUUCUGUGAUGAUACGUGGAGUGUGUCAGUCAGUCUCUUUCUGUGAUGAUACGUUGAGUGUGUGAGUGAGUCAGUCUCUUUCUGUGAUGAUACGUGGAGUGUGUGAGUGAGUCAGUCUCUUUCUGUGAUGAUACGUGGAGUGUGUCAGUCAGUCUCUUUCUGUGAUGAUACGUGGAGUGUGUGAGUGAGUC